GGAUUUCAGGGCUGACAUCCCUUCCUUCUCUGUACCCCACAGAGCACAGCUCUCUUUACCAAAGCGAGCUGUAGACAGAGGCAGCAGGCUGCCUCACCGUGAGGUGGUGACUCAGGGGAUAACUGUGGGCAGGGGGGCUUUCCAGCAACCUAGUUAGCUGAAACCACACAGCAGCCUUCCCAGCCGGUGGGGUGACCUACUUCUCAAUUCCUGUAGCCUCAACGCCCAGCCGGCAGAAUGCUGAUGAGGGAAGCCAUGCUGGCCUCUGAUGAGAAAAGGGGACGGAGAUGCCACUGAUUGAUUUGACCUUGCAGAACUGUGGGGACAGGAUGUUCUGUUCUUUCUGAUGCUGUGAAGUGGUCUGGGUGAAGGGGACUUCCUGCUAAUCCGCAGAUUCCAUGGACCCCAGCCUAGGUGCAUUUUAUGAGCAGAGAAGGCAACAAACAACAAGAUAAUCUCACUUCCCCCAGUAAGAGAUGGAUGACCUUGAGGAGAGUAACACCAUCAACAUCAUCGUUACAGCCGUCAUCAUCACCACCAGCCACAUCUCCAGCCUCGAGCAUCAUCAUCGUCACCAUCAAAACGUAAUGGUCAGGUGAUAGCUAGUGUUGGGGCUCGCUGGAAGCUCCGACUUGGUGUGGUCCACAUCCUCCCUUCACCCUGGUUCUUGCUUUUCCUCUCCAAGCACUAGGGAAGCUGAAAAGUCCUUGCCUUGCGGUGCCCCUUACGAGAGACCACUGCCACUGCUGUUAGGUGACUUGGCCAGGAAGGAGGGCAUAUGGGUGAUGGCUCUGUCCUGGCAGGGAGCGUGCGUGUGCCAUCGCAGAGUAAUCCCACACUGGCACCAUCGGGGCGAUGUGGGCAAGCACAGCACAGCCCAAGGCCAAGUGCAAAUUGUUUUAAAAUGCACAAACGAGCUUGGUUCAGGUGCUGCCAAAGAGUUCUCCAUUUCAGCAGAGAGUUAUUCUGUGCACUUUUACUACCGCUUAUCCGAGGAAAGCACAACUGUUCGUGGAGUCGUUAAGCUGUGCUUUUAGGAGGUGCCGUCAAGGAAAGCCGGCCACAAAUCGAGCCUGAUUUGCUCAACUGGUUUGAGUUGCUUUUGUCAAAGCCACAUCAAACCUGCAAUCUGCGGGCUCUCCUUCCCUUGUGAAAUUGUCGCUCUGAACACUUGGAACCGAUUCGGUUCUGUGACACCUUUAGUCAUUCGAAGGGCCCACGUGCGCUCAGGCCUGUGAUGUGGCUCCUGACCUCAGGGAGCCAUGAAGGAAGUAGGAUGCUGUAGGAAAACAGGUGGUAGGGGGCGUGGCUACUGUGGGGGUGACAAAAGGAGGACAUAAUGUCAUCUACCAGAGACCUUCCUGUCUGGGGCUCCACUUCAGUGCUGGCCCGUGCAGUCUCAUGGACUUUUCAUGGUCCUGUUUGUCAAAAGCAGGAUGAAGGCUGUGGGGGAGACGUUCUGAGACCCACUUGAUCUCAUUUUAUACAGAAAAUAAAGUUUUCUAUACACUCACCCCAGAUCUUUGGCCUCUUGGUCAAAUGGGGUGAUGCUCUGCUGCUGGCUACUGGGGAGGCUGUUCUUGGUCCAUGGCUGCUCUGGUCCAAAGAGGAUUCUUCCAGCAAGGAGCAAGGGAGCAGAGGUCAUCAGGGAGACAAAUCAUGCACACCAUAGUUUGGGAGGAGGGAGUGGUUUGUAACAGGUAGGCAGGUAGGAUUUUGAAUCUCUUCUGGAUGCUCAAGGAGAGGGGAUACGAACCUAGACUCCUUUCUGAUACAAAUAAAGUCCUAUCAUGCUAUCUUGGAGGUGUCUGAUCUCAUCUGGAGGAGGAGACUCUAAGUCCUACACCUCCUCAUCUUCAAGGCCUACAAUGUGCAAGACCCUUCACAAACUGUUUACUGAAUGACCAAAUGCAUCCACACAGUUGGCCAAGGGGUCUUCUUAAACAGAAUGGCAGCCGUGGACCAGAAAGCCCUGCAGUGACAUGCUGGGACUCAGGAACCCAGGCUUGUAUUCACAUACCCCUCAGGUAUAGAUAGUCAUGUUGGCAGCUCACCCAGGUCAAGUCACCUCGCCACUUUGUGUCUGCAUUUUCUCAGUAUGUCCUGGGAAGAUUAAAUGAGCAGGUGUACAUUCUAUAUGGUGUACCUGGCACACAUCUAGCAUGAAAGACACAGCGGCUGUCUGUGUUUUAAGCUAGACUCUUGUGAGCAAUGAAGAUGACUCAGAUUUUUGUAGUAACUGGAUCCUUCAGGCCCCAGCAGCCCCCAGUGACAGGACUCUGGCCGUGUUUGGAGAACACAAAGCUAUCUUGUGUGUUUCUUUUGGUGUCUGUCACUGGGGAAAGUCAUAUGCUGACCCCAGGGCUUAGUGAGCAAAGGCACAGGUUAAAUGAGGUGACCCUUGCUCUUGGGGUGGGUGCUAGCUGCUCGGUCUAUAGAAAAGUCUAAGGACUCAGUUUCCCACAGAUCAAGGUCAGCCCGUGAAAGCCAGACCUCUGCUGAGCAGGGUGAAAGAUUGUUGCUGCCUGCUGGCUGUGUCCCCAGUGGCUGGCCCUCACAUUGCAUACCCCCCUGUCCUCUUCCUGACACUCACUGACUCCCUUAGCUAUCUGCCUUGAAGUAUAAUUGUAAGCAAUAGAAACCAAGUGUUCCAUUAUUGUAACCCAGUUCUGACAAAUGAAAACUGGGCAGAAUGAGGCAGCCACCGAGUGGCGUUAGCAGCAGCAAAGGCUAACUUAAUUAGAGAGCGGCUUUGAGGCAUGGGGCAGGAAGUGAAACGGCUUUCAAUGACAAACAUUUCUCAACCAUCCAAUGUACCAGUAGCCCUGGCAGGCUUACCCCUUUGUCUCCUUUAAAGGAAGAGUACACGCGUAGCUAAGGCAAGCUGGGAGACAGAACACAAUUCCCCAUUGUCACUGAGCCCCCUGGGAAGCUGGUCUUCAUUCCCAGAAGGCUCAGUGGCUCAGGAACACAGAGCCCCAGGGCAUGCAUGUCCUGUGGGGUGGCCGAGCCUGAGUGGUUUGGGGCAGAUUGUCUAGUUCUUAUUGGUUCCACUCACCAACGGGUCCUCCCACAUCUGUCACAAGUGGGGAAGCUUUAUAUGUGGAAUUUACCCCCCUAACUUCUAAGUGUACCCCCAUUUGCUGGGGAUGGAGAAACCUAGUCCCCCUAGACUGGAAUCAUUUGCUGCUCUUGUCCAAUGCCACCAUUGCCCUGAUUUCUUCCACAAGUCUGGCUCUUUGCACAGAAAAUAAACCUCCAGAGAAGGGUGACUAGCUAAAUCUUUUCCCGAGGAAUUUAUUUCCUGGGCUUCAAACUCACAGAAAUACAGAAAUGGGAAGGAAAGGCAGGCAAUGAUGCUAUCCACCACCUCUUCUUUAGCUGCAUUUCUACUGAUUUAUUUAUAGAUGUCACACAGGAUAUGGCACCUGGGAGGAGCUUGGUAAAUAGUCCUUAAUUGAUUACAACACAGAAAUCUAUCUGAAGAUCUUGAAGGAAAUAGGUGUAUUUCCAGCCUUGCGUCCUUCCUCCUGAAGAGAAAGCCAGAGUUCUCACCUGGUGAAAGGGCUGGGAGAGCCUGGUGCUCCCCCACCUCAACAAUCCCGAUAGAGUUGGUGAUUUUCUCCAUUGGCUUUCCUUCCUAAAUGCACUUGAAGCGACCACCAUGAAGACGGAAAGAGCUCUUCACGAGGUCCAGAGGCUAGCAGGCGACGGCUGCACCCUCCUGAAACUCAAGUAGUUCUUCUUUUUUCUUUUUUUUCUUUUCAAGCCGUGAUGAGAAGUGGCUGUGUCCUCAGGUGAAGCUAUCGUAGAAAGGCUAAAAGCAGCAGCCACUCGGGUUCCUAGCGCUCCAGAAACUACCCAUGGGCCAUGCAUGGCCUGCUAUUCUGGCCCGUUAAUGUCCUUGCUUCAGUCGGGUUGAUUAUUCUAGUGUUCAUCAGACCUGAUUCCCUGCUCGAUAAAACCCCAACCGUUAAGGGGAAGUGUUCGUCACCUCGGCACCUGGUUUCAGGACUGAAGUUGUGGCCUCACAGUUCUGCAAAACAAUGCACAAUCACCUUGGCUCAGGGAUCUCUGGUGGCUAAGUGCUAUCCUAGGAGCUGUCUGGCUAGGCCGGGUAAGUGGUGGGGAGUUCAGGUGACCAGGACUUCUAGGUUGCCAUGGAGAUUAUCAACCAUCUGAGGAAGCCUGCUGGGAGGGGUGGGAGGUGAGGAACCCCCCCACCCCCACCACCUGAGCUAGUUGUCUGCCUUUUACCAGUUUCUUGCUCCCCCCACCCCAGCUGGAACAUCCUGGAACCAGGCUGUCCCUAGUCUUUGUUGGUGGCUAUGGAACCAGGCUGUCCCUAGUCUUUGUUGGUGGCUAUGGAACCAGGCUGUCCCUAGUCUUUGUUGGUGGCUACUUGGGCCCUGGACUCUGGAAACAAAAGGGAAGCUAAGCAUUGUGGCUUCUCUUAGGAAACGCACCAAAUUCAUGCUUCUGGGUUCUCUUGCAAUUCUUCAGGGGCCCACAGAACCCGAGGGUGAUUUUUUUGUGGGUGUCCAGGAAGGGGAAGGUGCCUCUUGCCAUAUUCAGUCUGUGGGGCCCAACUACCAACUUGCCCUGAGAACCCUGCCCUCAGAAUUUCUAGCCACUCACUCCAGUUAGGGGACCUGGCCGUGAUGAGCCUCCUACCAGCUCCCCAUUGUUAAUUGCUGUGAUGGUCAAUAUUGAUUAUGAACUUGAUAGGGCCUUAAUUAAUCUUGGAGACAAACCUCCAUCACGAGAGAGAGUUUCUAGAUGAAUGGAGGUGAGGAGAUACACCCAAAAGGUGGCUGGUCCUGGGAUGAAUAAAAAUGAGAGUGAGAUGAGCAUCGGCAUGCAUUUCUCUUGGCUUCCCAGCUGCAGAUGCCUUGUGGUUCACACCCCUGCUGCAGGGCUUUCUCUGCCUCCCGCCAGGAGCCAGAAGGAAGUUUUUUCUCCCUCAAGCUACGGUGUGCCAGGUAAUUUGCCACAGCACCGAGGGAAGUAACCAGUGCCAUCUCCAAAAGCUUUGCCUACACCAUCUCCUGAAUUAUGGGGCCUUUAGGAGGUAGGCAUUACUAAUCUCAUUUUACAGAAGGGAGAGCGGAAGUUCAAGGUCACAGAGCUGACGGCCGUCAGAGCGUCGGAGGUCUCGCCCUCUCUGUCACGGCACUUGCUCAGAGGCAUGCCGAAGGACCUCACCACCCCCCAUCAUGUCCCCCCCCCAUGGGCACUGGGUUUUAUUUCUGCAGCAGCUCCCAUGGUUGUCCACCUUGUCUGCUCCUCAUCUCGAUUCUCCGUAGCUUUUGUCUUUUGCUCCCUUCCCACGUCCUUAAAGGCACCAGCCAAGCCCGUUUCACCCAGAAACACCUGGUCAGGAAGCUCAGGUGUUGGCCACCUGGGCACUGCCAAGGGCCAAGUCCAUGUAAUUAGCCAACUGAGCCCGGGGUUGGGGAAGACCUGGCCUGGACCAUGACGCCCUGUAGCUAAUGGAGCCGGGGUUGGGGAAGAGCUGGCCUGGAGUGUGAGACCCUGGCUCUGUAGAAUGCCUUACAGUGGAGAAGGCAGGCAGUGGGUUGUUUUUGUUUGUUUGUUUGUUUGUUUGUGUUUUUGUUUUUCUGCUUGCUGUAGGUUUUAAAUAUGGAAAGGCAGGCACUGUCAGUUCAGUGCGUUUGGGAGCAGUGUUCACAGCCCUGGGGAAGGGAUGAUGGCCACCAUGGUCACUGCUGGUUGAACUUAGAUUCUUUUGUCCUGAAGGGAAGGUCCCCUGACAGGUUUAGAGCUAGUCAUGCUUCUAAGAAUUGUCUCAUGACAGAGGCAGGCAAAGCCAGGGGCCUCUCUGCAACACCCAUGGGCCUUGGCAAAGGAGUCUUGGAAAAGCAUGUUCUUUCUUUCUUCCAGAGUCACAAAGGACACUGUUGGGAGAGGACUGUGGAAUGGCAGUGUGCCAGACAGCCCUGGCUCUCCCACAGUGGGGAUGCAAAGCCUUUACACCUUAGCCUCAUUCUUUGAAGAAAAAAAAAAAAAAGAAAAGAAAAAGAAGGAAAGAAAUAAAUGUAUUAUUUUUUU